rnacentral:lncRNA from 1 species
CUUCUAAAGGACCACAGAAUGACUGAAAGGAUGCUGGCUCCCCAUUUAUGUAGGACAUUCCGGUGGCUCGUGGUUCGAACAAAGCAGGGAUGAACAGCCGGGUCAAGCUGCGUUUUCCAGCAGACGAGGACUCAAGGACGAAUGUGCAUUGAGGCCUGUAUAGAAAUCAAGGCCUGCUUCCCUGUGUUCUAGGUGGUCAUUUUCCAGCCGGACACUGCUGGCAUCGGCAAGACUUGUCACCCGCCCACACGUCGCGCUCUCUGCGAGUGAAACUGCAAGAUCUCGGCGUCAUGACACUGUAGGUUGGCGGCCGUUAGCAGCACAUACGAAUACUAUUCAAAACAUUUGGGGCAUAAGGAAACUCAACCUGUCAAGGAUGUAGGCCCAUCACGCAAGUUGUGACGAAUUGUGGGCUGCGAAUGAACAGUGGGAGGCCCUGAAAACGGAACCCCGACACCGUUCCAGCACUCUACGACUCGCUGCCGCGUCGUGUUGCCGAGCUCGUCUACUCUGCCGGUGACCUUUCUUCGUAUUGACAGAUCAUACAAAUGCACGGAAUGAAGCAUUCUCUCCAUUUUUUAAGUUGAAUAAACAGCAAAAUAAAGUUGUUUGUCCUGA